CUGAGGUGACGUAACAUUAGCGUUGUCUUGCUAUCUACGUACAAGUAUCUUGUUCGUUUUACAGAUAAUUCGCGAGUCACUCAGCGCUAGCAGUAUAGAUUACUUAUAAGCAUCAUAAGACCGCUGCUAUAAAUAAUGUUAAGCGUCUGAAGACAAGUCCACCUAGGAGGUACGACGGGGCUGGUAUCAAUGAUCAACUGAAAGCAGCAGAAAUGAAGAAAUUGAAGAAAAAGGAAUCGACGACUUAACGGAUAUUGCAAACCAUCAGUUCUAAGGCCAGACGGAAAAUUCAGUAAUAGCUAAGAGGAUUUGGGCCACCAACGCCCGGAAACAAAGAUUAAAGAAGUUUCCACGCCCGGCGAAUGAGUAUAUAUCAUGGUGGAACCGAUGGAGCAAAGAAGAGAAACGUGCAGUGUGGAAUUGGAAGCCGAACAUGCAGCGAUUACAGAAUCAUUACCAGCAGGAGUUCUACUUACUG
rnacentral:lncRNA from 1 species